GGGCCGUAGCUCAGUAGUAGAGAGUCUGCUUUGCAUGCAAAAAGUCCCAGGUUCAAUCCCCAGUGGCACCU